GAUGAACGCUGGCGGCGUGCCUAAUACAUGCAAGUCGAGCGAACAGACGAGGAGCUUGCUCCUCUGACGUUAGCGGCGGACGGGUGAGUAACACGUGGAUAACCUACCUAUAAGACUGGGAUAACUUCGGGAAACCGGAUCUAAUACCGGAUAAUAUAUUUAACCGCAUGGUUCAAUAGUGAAAGACGGUUUUGCUGCUACUUAGAGAUGGAUCCGCGCCGCAUUAGCUAGUUGGUAAGGUAACGGCUUACCAAGGCGACGAUGCGUAGCCGACCUGAGAGAGUGAUCGGCCACACGGGAACUGAGACACGGUCCAGACUCCUACGGGAGGCAGCAGUAGGGAAUCUUACGCAAUGGGCGAAAGCCUGACGGAGCAACGGCGCGUGAGUGAUGAAGGUCUUCGGAUCGUAAAGCUCUGUUAUUAGGGAAGAACAAAUGUGUAAGUAACUAUGGACGUCUUGACGGUACCUAAUCAGAAAGCCCCGGCUAACUACGUG
rnacentral:rRNA from 1 species